UUGUAAAGUAAAUAGGUGACUAACUUAUAUUAAAAUAAAGGAAGACACUUUUAAUGCAAUUUUAAUAACACUUUCAAUUAAUUGAAGUUCUUUUUGAGAACGUUAUUAUGCGACGAUGGGUUACGAUUCUAUUCUAUAUUUCUUUUAAAAAUUGUCACGAAAUUGCACUUCUUAGUUGAAUGAUAACUCAAAUUUUUAUAAGUUAUGCAAUUAAAAAGUAGAAGAGUGUUUCCGAUUGGCAGAUUAUAAAGUAGAUUAUGAUGACGGUUUCUUUUAUAUUUAAUUUAGAUUACUUUUUAUUUAUCUUUUGCAAGAACUAAAAAUUGCUUAGAUCACAUUGGUGCAUUAUAUAACACAAGGUUACUUAGAAAUGAUUACGGAAUAUUAUAUAACUAAACAUCACAUGUAUUUGCAAUACUUGAAUAAAAUAUUAUAUAACUAAAGAUGACAUUUAUGUUCUUGAGUGACAAAUAGUGGUUAUUUGAAAAGUAAAAAAAAGUAGAUAUUUGCAUAUGAUAUUCAGGAAACAGUUAUUUGUGCUGUUAAGAAAAAGAUGAAUUUUCGUCGACUAAAACUUAUAUUGACGUUAAAGACAAGCAAUAAUGAGAUGAAAGAAUAAUGAACUUCAACCUUUAUUAUUUGUUGAUUUAUGAAAGUGCUUUAUUGUCAUUUUUUUAUAUUUUUGAUAAACAUAGAGUUAGAUAUUUGAAGAUUACAAAUAAACUGACACUAACUUAA